UUGAACCUGGUGCAGGUCAGAUGGUCUGUUUGUCUCUGUGUGAUGUCACAGCCAUCCAAGGCUUGAACCUGGUGCAGGUCAGAUGGUCUGUUGGUCUCUGUGUGAUGUCACAGCCAUCCAAGGCUUGAACCUGGUGCAGGUCAGAUGGUCUGUUUGUCUCUGUGUGAUGUCACAGCCAUCCAAGGCUUGAACCUGGUGCAGGUCAGAUGGUCUGUUGGUCUCUGUGUGAUGUCACAGCCAUCCAAGGCUUGAACCUGGUGCAGGUCAGAUGGUCUGUUGGUCUCUGUGUGAUGUCACAGCCAUCCAAGGCUUGAACCUGGUGCAGGCUAAGAAGUUGGUAGAGUCCCUCCCCCAGGAGAUCAGAGCCAAUGUGUCCAAAGAGGAGGCGGAGAAGCUGAAGACAGCCCUGGAGACAGCAGGAGGCACUGUGGUGCUGGAGUAGACCGUCCCUCCUCUCUCCCUGCCUCCACCCGACUGACCCCAUCCACCAUCUGGCUGCUGUUACUCCUGUCUUCUAUAUUUCUGUUGUAUACAGCAGGAAAAGAACAAAGGAACCAAUGCCUUGGAAAAGGAAACUAAAAUCUAGCCUUUUUGACAACGUUGCUGUACUAGCUACCAACUGGAUGGUGUGGGGCGGGAGAAACUAACUCAGACUGAACUCCUCAGGCUCAGAGCCUGAACACACCCGCCCACCGCCCGUCAGUUCCCUCGCCCAUUUGUCUUGUUCGUCUGUCUUGCUCUGUCCCGAUUCUCCACCCUUCUCCCGAAGUGUGCACUUCUCUUGGGUUCUUUCUCACGUUGAUUUAACAACGGUGGAAACUCAAAACUCCCUCAAGCCAAUGUUUACAUCAGCCCCAUGUUUAAAAGUCCACGACUGGGAAUAUGAGGGUACAGUACAGGAGAGGGGUGGAUAAUGGGUACUUUUGCCCAUCUAUCAGUCUGGUUCUUUUGCCCAUUGGUCUGCAUUCAAGCUGGACUUGGUCUCCUGUCUGUAUUCGUCUGGGGGUGAGUUUCCCUGAAAGCCUCGUAACUAACGUAACUAACGUGGCAUGUUAUUUCUCCUGACAACCCAGCCUCCACAGACCAUUGAAAUAUCUACGUUUGACUGUCUGUAUUCUCCAGAGGAGGCUGGUGGGAGGAGCUAUAGGAGGACAGGCUCAUUGUAAUGGCUGAAUGGAAUUAUGGAAUGGAGUCGAACAGGUGGUUUCCAUUUGAUUCCAUUAAUUCCAUGUCAGCCAUUACAAUAAGCCUGUCCUCCUAUAGCUCCUCCAACCAGCCUCCGCUGGUAUUUUAUGUGCGUUAAUGAACCAAAUUCGUCAAAUGGACAUUUUGCUGGUUGUUCUAUGAGUGGGUCAUCAAGAGGACUGAGGUACCACGUUGGCAACCAAGCUUUUUUAGAAACCCUCCCCCUGACUGGUAACAGACUGCCGUGUUCUCUAGAACCAGGAGAACGGAGCUGUGUCCUCAUUACGGGUUGGAACCGGAACAGAACUGAAAAGCCGGAAAAUAAUGUCAUUUUUCAAGUAGCAGAAACGGAACCUGGAACGAAAGUGAUCCAUACUGUUCCGGAACAGAACCAUUAUUUUAAAAGCAUGGGAACCGGUUAAUAGCGUUCUUUUACAUUCCAGGCGUUGUUUCUACUCUCGCAAAAAACGCAACAAAGUGCCAAGGCAAAGCCCUCACUCUGUCACUCAGAAACGUAUUCCAGUAUCUGCCUGCAAGCUGAAAGUCUUUACCAGUGUGUGUGUAUGUUUAGGCUACACCCCCCCCCCCUCUAUCCGCACUGAUUGGUGAAGUCAUUUAAUUAGCUAAAUGUGAAGGGGGGGGGGGGGUGAUUUUAAAGGUUAAAAAAGGAAUAGAAAGGAACGCUAUAAACCGGUACUUUUGUUUGGUUUGAACCGGUUCAGAACUUUCUUUUGUUGGUCGGAACAGUGGAAUGUAACAGUUACAUUUGUAUUUUCCUGUUCAGAACGAAACGAUUGGAAAAAUACAUAUUGGUUCAAACCCCUGGUCUUUAUACUGUAUGGCUGAUAUAGGAUCAAUGAUGAAGUGAUUAAAAUAAAUAAAAAAUACAAGUUACA